rnacentral:rRNA from 1 species
AGAGUUUGAUCCUGGCUCAGGAUGAACGCUGGCGGUAUGCUUAACACAUGCAAGUCGAACGGAAUCCUUAGGGAUUUAGUGGCGGACGGGUGAGUAACGCGUGAGAAUCUGCCUUCAGGUUCGGGACAACCACUGGAAACGGUGGCUAAUACCGAAUGUGCAGCAAUGUGAAAAAUUUAUUGCCUGAAGAUGAGCUCGCGUCUGAUUAGCUAGUAGGUGUGGUAAGAGCGCACCUAGGCGACGAUCAGUAGCUGGUCUGAGAGGAUGAUCAGCCACACUGGGACUGAGACACGGCCCAGACUCCUACGGGAGGCAGCAGUGGGGAAUUUUCCGCAAUGGGCGAAAGCCUGACGGAGCAAUACCGCGUGAGGGAGGAAGGCUCUUGGGUUGUAAACCUCUUUUCUCAAGGAAGAAAAAAAUGACGGUACUUGAGGAAUAAGCAUCGGCUAACUCCGUGCCAGCAGCCGCGGUAAUACGGAGGAUGCAAGCGUUAUCCGGAAUGAUUGGGCGUAAAGCGUCCGCAGGUGGCUAUGUAAGUCUGCUGUUAAAGAGUCUGGCUCAACCAGAUAAAGGCAGUGGAAACUACAUGGCUAGAGUGCGUUCGGGGCAGAGGGAAUUCCUGGUGUAGCGGUGAAAUGCGUAGAGAUCAGGAAGAACACCGGUGGCGAAAGCGCUCUGCUAGGCCGCAACUGACACUGAGGGACGAAAGCUAGGGGAGCGAAUGGGAUUAGAUACCCCCGUAGUCC